GGACCGCAUGGCUAAGGGACCUGGCUGCCCUGCCUGCUGGGGGCUGGCUCUCUGCUGUCACCGCUGCUGGUCCCCUCCACGCCACAGACGCGCUCCAGAAUGGAGACGAAGCGCGCGGACGGCGGACGGACCGGACGGCUCCUCCCCCAGCCAGGCUGCUCCGCCAGCUCCGGACGGCUCCUCCCCAGCCAGGCUGCUCCGCCAGCUCCGGGAGGGCGCUCACCGGCUGCUGUCAGCACAGGGGCCCUUGGGGAGGGUGCCUGGCCGCUCCCGUGCCUCCUCCCGGGCACACGGCGCCGUGUGGAGGAGCGCCGGGCUUUGCUCGCUCGGCCCAGACUCCUCUCCAGCCGGCGCUCGGCCGCCGAGGUGCACAGGCUGGGCUGGCUCUGCCUCCUCGCCCCGCUGGCCGGAGCAGGGUGGGGGUCGGAACCUGGGCCGGAAGCAAAGUCCGCUGCUGCGCCUUUUCCUUGCGGGGAGGCCUGGGUGGCCCCGAGGGCUCCCCCUCCUGAGGGGCUCCCCCACCACCUCAAGCUCCUCGCUGAGCGCAGCAGCCACUCAGGCAGUGCUGGCCGGCCGAGCGGGCCCUGUGAGAGCAGCGCGUGGCUGCACGCUGAGCACGACUCCACAGGCUGCCCUCACUCCUCUCGGAGCACCAGCCAAGCUUGCAGCUCCCCACCGCCAUCUGUCCUCUGCAGGUCCUCUGUGGGCCCUGUCACAGGCAAGGGACGGAGGCCUGAGAGCUGAGGAACUUCCUGGCUCUGUCCCCAAGUGCCGCCCUUUGCUGCACCUUGGUGUGGCGGCACUGGUAGCCCCAGCCAGCCUCGUGGUCCUCCUCUGCUGACGUAGGUCACUGUCCUUGACUCACGAUCCCGGGGAAGGCCAGGCCCGGUCCCUGGUUCCGGCAGUGUCCCCCUGCCCCCAUGCUUGGGUGGUGUGCACCGUGGGCAGCUCCUCCUCUGAAAGGGCCGAGCUCCCCAGCCACAGGGCCAGCUCUCCCGCCUCUGUGGGCCGUGCAGCCUCCCCUGGUCGCGCCCUCCCAGUGCAGCACGUCCGCCCAGCCCGUGGGCCUCUCUGCAGCCUUCUUCCUGCCCCUUCGGCCUCAGCUCCUC
rnacentral:lncRNA from 1 species